AUUGAACGCUGGCUGAAUGCUUUACACAUGCAAGUCGAACGGCAGCACGGACUUCGGUCUGGUGGCGAGUGGCGAACGGGUGAGUAAUGUAUCGGAACGUGUCAAGUCGUGGGGGAUAACGUAGUGAAAAUUACGCUAAUACCGCAUACGAUCUAUGGAUGAAAGCGGGGGAUCGCAAGACCCCGCGCGAUUGGAGCGGCCGAUAUCAGAUUAGGUAGUUGGUAGGGUAAAGGCUCCACAAGCCAACGAUCUGUAGCUGGUCUGAGAGGACGACCAGACACACUGGAACUGCGACACCGUCCAGACUCCUACGGGAGGCAGCAGUGGGGAAUUUUGGACAAUGGGCGAAAGCCUGAUCCAGCCAUUCCGCGUGCAGGAUGAAGGCCCUCGGGUUGUAAACUGCUUUUGUACAGAAAGAAAAGGUUUCUACUAAUACUAGGAGCUCAUGACGGUACUGUAAGAAUAAGCACCGGCUAACUACGUGCCAGCAGCCGCCGUAA
rnacentral:rRNA from 1 species